rnacentral:rRNA from 1 species
AGUGAACGCUGGCGGUAGGCCUAACACAUGCAAGUCGAACGGCAGCACAGAGGAGCUUGCUCCUUGGGUGGCGAGUGGCGGACGGGUGAGGAAUACAUCGGAAUCUACUCUGUCGUGGGGGAUAACGUAGGGAAACUUACGCUAAUACCGCAUACGACCUACGGGUGAAAGCAGGGGAUCUUCGGACCUUGCGCGAUUGAAUGAGCCGAUGUCGGAUUAGCUAGUUGGCGGGGUAAAGGCCCACCAAGGCGACGAUCCGUAGCUGGUCUGAGAGGAUGAUCAGCCAUACUGGAACUGAGACACGGUCCAGACUCCUACGGGAGGCAGAAGUGGGGAAUAUUGGACAAUGGGCGCGAGCCUGAUCCAGCCAUACCGCGUGGGUGAAGAAGGCCUUCGGGUUGUAAAGCCCUUUUGUUGGGAAAGAAAUCCAGCUGGCUAAUACCCGGUUGGGAUGACGGUACCCAAAGAAUAAGCACCGGCUAACUUCGUGCCAGCAGCCGCCGUAA